rnacentral:rRNA from 1 species
UACAGAGGCCUCAAGCGUUAGGCGGAAUCACUGGGCUUAAAGCGCGUGUAGGUGGACUUUUAAGUGCUUUGUGAAAUCCCACGGCUCAACCGUGGAACUGCUGGGCAUACUGGAAGUCUUGGGCUAUCUAGGGGCAACCGGAACAAGCGGUGGAGCGGUGAAAUGCGUAGAUAUCGCUUGGACGCCAAAGGUGAAGACAGGUUGCUGGAGAUAUGCCGACACUGAGACGCGAAAGCCAGGGGAGCAAACGGG